CGGAGCGUCGGGCCGCUCCACGUCGCGCUCGAAGCCUCGAUCGAUCGAUGGAUCGAUCGCGCCGCCGCGUCCCUCCUCCUGCCGCCCGAUCCUUCGAGAAGUCGACCGAUCGCCCGUUCAGUCUGUCGUCGAUCGUCGAUCGUUGAUCGAUCGGCCUCGUCGGUUCGUGGGGCAGAGAGAGGAUCAUAGGUGAUCGGCCCGGUGAAAGUUUUCCAUCGAAAGCUCCAUCCGUCCGCGGUCAUGCUCGUUCUCGUCGCGAGAAGUUCCGAGGUGCAGGUGAACCGCGUGCGUGCCACGAUCCGCGCCUUCGCCCGAUCUCGCGGGUCCUGAGACAGGCGAUCCCGAGGACCUAGACGUACCUUUUGCUUGGAGAGUCUUCGGCUGAGAGCAGUGAGAAAGGACGAACACGUUGGUGAAACUGCCGAUCCCUCGCGAUUCCUAAUUACCUGCCGCGAGUCUUAGUGUCUAUGAAAUCGUGAAAACCCGGCCGUGUGUGACGAUGUCGUCGAGUGGUGAAUUUUCGACCCUGUCCAGUGGCGAGGCUACUGGAACUGGCGACGACUCGUUGCCCAGCUCGCGAGAGGCCACCGCUGAGGCCGCGAGUUCCGGUGCUGGGUUCAUGCCUCUGCGCGAGUUUCUGGACAGAUUCUCGUUGCCAAGAGUGGUGAGGGUGGAGGGUGCAGGUGGAAGGCCGAUACUGUUGUACAAACAACAGCAACGAUCGCUGAGAGUCACGGCUACCCUGCUGAUGCAUCGUUACCGCCAUGACGUGAAGGUUGGGCCUGAGAUCGUGAUUCCAGAGGGAUAUCCCGGCUGGUUCUCUGUUGUCUCGAACAACAGUGGUACCGGAAGUGCCAGGGUGUAUCGACGAGUGGGGGCGCUGGUUCGCGCCGGUGUUCCAGCAUUUUUGCUUGCCAAACCUCUGCGAGCUUACACGCUGACACACUCCAAAAUGGAGAACGGUAACCUGAGGGCUCACUAUACAAAAACGACAGUUCGCGCCGGGGAAGUUCUGCGACUGGCCGCGGUUUUCCAAGACACUAGGAGGGCACCGGUUUCCAGCGGUAUUUCCGGCGUCGUUAGCGGCGUCCCGGAGGGCAAGAGUUCAAGGUCGUCGGAACGAGAUCAGUACGCGCAGUGCCUAGAUUCUCACGGACACGAGCUGUUCGCGCCGCUUUCCGCUAGAGGAGAGUUCUACGCCACUUGCCAGAGCGGCAGCCUCGACACCGGAAGCGACGCCGUGCUCUACAGGGUCCACCAGCUUGCCAGAAGGGACCUACCUCUCAGGGUACGCCUGGUCGCCGGACCUUUACCGAUACCACUGCCACGAGAUUACAGCGGCCUGAUGCAACUGGAAGGUGCGACAAGGGGUCCCAUAGUAUUAGGAUGCGCGGUACCUCUGAUGCCAGAGAGGCCUUUACCAAAUUCCACUGUCCCAGAACUCCUGGAACUCGUGGCCACAGGACCAACGGCGCCGCGAGUGAAGAGGGCGCGACUGGGUUGUCCCUCCGAGGCGAGGUUGCUGGCGUCACCCAAGAUGCAGCGAUUACUUUCAGCCUGCAGGAGAGCACUGGACCAGAGAGCAACGGAACCACGCGUGGCGCCCCCAAAGCCGCCCCCCAGUGGCGGCCAAUUGAAGGAACUGCAUCUGAAGGAGAUCAAAUCGAAGCCAGAAGCGAAGCCGAUCCUUCAGAGCUUGAAGGAAGGGUUGGAGCACAUCAAACGAACGACUAUCAGGGAUCGCAGCAAUAGUCGGGCGAGCAGCAACAACCAUAGCUUCCUCGACCGGAUCUCGAGGAUAGCUCAGGGUGGCAGAAGCAGGAACCCAGCGAAGAAGUCGGCCUCUUUCACGUUCGCUGUUCGACCGGAAAUCGGCAUGAGGUCCGAGAGAUACGCUAGCCUCGAGUCAGAGACGAAUCUACUGCAGGCAUCGCCCUCGUCGAGACAGCAGGUUCAACGAUCGGUCUCCACCAGCGUGCUGGAGGUGCAGACGCAACAGGACCUGGACCCACCGUACUCCAAGGUCAGGGAUAGUUUAACCCCGCUACCAUCCACUCCUCCAUCGAAGACAGAAGAGAUUUAUGCGGAGAUCUGUGAACCUACGAACGCUAGCUCUCCGGAAGAGAAGCCUCCACCUCCGCCACCUGGUGGCAAGAACGGGACCAGAGAGAAGGACAGGGGUUACGUGAAGCUGGCCUUGUCACAGUCCGAAGUCUCCGACCUGAAUGGCGAAGAGGAAGAGGGGAUCUAUAACACUGUCUGCUGAUCGUGAAUCUUUUAAGCUGGACGAGACAUCGUGUGUUUAGGAAUACAGGGAUCGUGUACGACGAGUGACGAUGGGAUAAUUAUGGUUCGAUGUGUAUCGCAACUUCCGGUGCUGAAGGAUCACGUUGCUCGACAGGAUUGAGUGAUCACUUGUAUUGCAUUACGCCAAGAAUUGUUUUUAAAGUUCAGAGUAAUUCGUAUUCGAAAAUUCAUGGGAUGCUGGAGUCGCGAAGGAUCCCGAGUGUUUCGAAUUUUUGUAUCGGAAAGAGAUAAAGGAGCAACGACAGAUAUUCAAGCAAGCAUCCCUCUCAUAGUGAGAAGACACC
rnacentral:misc_RNA from 1 species